AAGUGGCAGACGGGUGAGUAACGCGUGGGAACCUGCCCUGUGGUAGGGAAUAACCGUGGGAAACUGCGGCUAAUACCCUAUGAGUCCUUCGGGAGAAAGAUUUAUCGCCAUAGGAGGGGCCCGCGUCGGAUUAGGUAGUUGGUGGGGUAACGGCCUACCAAGCCUUCGAUCCGUAGCUGGUCUGAGAGGAUGAUCAGCCACACUGGGACUGAGAUACGGCCCAGACUCCUACGGGAGGCAGCAGUGGGGAAUAUUGGACAAUGGGGGCAACCCUGAUCCAGCAAUGCCGCGUGGAUGAUGAAGGCCUUCGGGUUGUAAAGUCCUUUCGGCGGGGAAGAUGAUGACGGUACCCGCAGAAGAAGCCCCGGCUAACUUCGUGCCAGCAGCCGCGGUAAUACGGAGGGGGCUAGCGUUGUUCGGAAUUACUGGGCGUAAAGGGCGCGUAGGCUGUGCUGUAAGUCAGGCGUGAAAGCCC
rnacentral:rRNA from 1 species